rnacentral:rRNA from 2 species
AGAGUUUGAUCCUGGCUCAGAGCGAACGCUGGCGGCAGGCCUAACACAUGCAAGUCGAGCGCCCCGCAAGGGGAGCGGCAGACGGGAGAGUAACACGUGGGAACGUACCCUUCAGUUCGGAACAACCCAGGGAAACUUGGGCUAAUACCGGAUACGUCCGAAAGGAGAAAGAUUUAUCGCUGAGGGAUCGGCCCGCGUCUGAUUAGCUAGUUGGUGGGGUAACGGCCCACCAAGGCGACGAUCAGUAGCUGGUCUGAGAGGAUGAUCAGCCACAUUGGGACUGAGACACGGCCCAAACUCCUACGGGAGGCAGCAGUGGGGAAUAUUGGACAAUGGGCGCAAGCCUGAUCCAGCCAUGCCGCGUGAGUGAUGAAGGCCCUAGGGUUGUAAAGCUCUUUUGUGCGGGAAGAUAAUGACGGUACCGCAAGAAUAAGCCCCGGCUAACUUCGUGCCAGCAGCCGCGGUAAUACGAAGGGGGCUAGCGUUGCUCGGAAUCACUGGGCGUAAAGGGUGCGUAGGCGGGUCUUUAAGUCAGGGGUGAAAUCCUGGAGCUCAACUCCAGAACUGCCUUUGAUACUGAAGAUCUUGAGUUCGGGAGAGGUGAGUGGAACUGCGAGUGUAGAGGUGAAAUUCGUAGAUAUUUCGCAAGAAC